rnacentral:misc_RNA from 1 species
GAUGAAGUACGUAGCGAAAUGCGAUACGUAAUGUGAAUUGCAGAAUUCAGUGAAUCAUCGAGUCUUUGAACGCACAUUGCGCCCCCUGGUAUUCCGGGGGGCAUGCCUGUCCGAGCGUCAUUGCUGCCCUCAAGCACGGCUUGUGUGUUGGGCCUCCGUCCUCCUCCCGGGGGACGGGCCCGAAAGGCAGCGGCGGCACCGCGUCCGGUCCUCGAGCGUAUGGGGCUUCGUCACCCGCUCUUGUAGGCCCGGCCGGCGCUUGCCGACACAUCAAUCUUUUUUCCAGGUUGACCUCGGAUCAGGUAGGGAUACCCGCUGAACUUAAGCAUAUCAAUAAGCGGAGGA